GAUGAACGCUGGCGGCGCGCCUAACACAUGCAAGUCGAACGAUUAAAGCACCUUCGGGUGUGUAUAAAGUGGCGAACGGCUGAGUAACACGUGGGCAACCUGCCCCUUUCAUUGGGAUAGCCACGGGAAACCGUGGAUAAUACCGAAUACUUCGAGACUUCCGCAUGGAAGACUCGAGAAAGCUCCGGCGGAGAGGGAUGGGCCCGCGGCCUGUUAGCUUGUUGGUGGGGUAACGGCCUACCAAGGCAAUGAUGGGUAGCUGGGUUGAGAGACCGACCAGCCAGAUUGGGACUGAGACACGGCCCAGACUCCUACGGGAGGCAGCAGUGGGGAAUCUUGCACAAUGGGCGAAAGCCUGAUGCGGCGACGCCGCGUGCGGGAUGAAGGCCUUCGGGUUGUAAACCGCUUUCAGCAGGGACGAGGCGAAAGUGACGGUACCUGCAGAAGAAGCCCCGGCUAACUACGUG
rnacentral:rRNA from 1 species